AUGUGCUGGAAGGCCCUGGAUGGGCUCCCCUGCUCGCUCAGUCCCACAGAGACUCCCAGCAGGUUUGUGCCCAUGGACGGCCCAGGAGAUGGGGAGGGUUAUCCCAGUGCCUCCCCAGGAAGCAGGGAAGCUGGGAAUCUCCAUCCAGGCAGCCCCACUCCCAGCCUUGCUGGCUGUGUUUGCAAUUCCUUCCCUCGGGCAGCUGAUAAAGGCUCCCUCAAAGGCAAUCCAGCUCAGGUAUUUAUCACCGUGCCACAAUCCCAAAGGCCAAGGGAGCCAGGGAAAACACCCUCAUCCAGCUCCAAGGUCAAGGGGUUGGAAGAGAGAGGAGCAGCUGGGAACAGCCAGGCUCCAGCAGCAAGCAGAAACCUUUCCAAAAAUAAAGCCAUAAAUAGACUGAAAAAUAACAAAGCCUUGGAGACACCGAGCCCAGAGCGGGAGGGGAAUGACACAGGAGCACCUCCAGAUGUGAGGGUGAGGGGUUCUCACAUUGACUUUGGGGUUGAUCCACAUUUUUGGGGUAGAUCCCACUCCUGCAGAACCCCCAGGAGCCACCUCAGCCCUGGAUGGAGCGGGAAGGAAGGUGGGAAUCAGGGAUGGCCUCUCCCAGGGCUGCACCCGCUGUGAGGACAGCUCUCAAAGCCUGGGGAGGGAGGACAUGAGGGUUCAAGGGAGUCAGACCUCCAAGGCUUUCCAGGAUAUUCCCAUUCUGUGAUUUCUGAGCUGCUCCUGCUCAGCCCCUGGAGGUUUUCCAUCAAAGCCAAGGGGAGGUUUUCCAUCAAAGCUCCUGGAGGUCGAUCUGGGCCGAUUCCUGCUGUGAGCUGCUACAGCCCCUUGGGUGGUGUUUUAGGGGGGAAAUGAAAUGUUUUAGUGUGAUUUCAACUCCUGGAAGCUCGAGAGGCUUGGAGCUGCUCCAGCCUCAGCCAAAACACGGCGGAACUCAAGGAACCCUGGGUUACACGGCACAAAUCAGAGCUGGAUUUGGAAUUAGCCAGGAGCAGGGGAUCCCUGCAGCUUCAUCCCAGAACUGCCUCUCCCUGACCCUUGGGUGUCCCAGGAUUACCUGGACAAAUUUAUCCACCUGCUCCCGGCCACAGGACACUGGGAUUGUCUUUGAGCCUUCCAGUGCCCCAGUUACAGAUCCCUGCCCCAAGUCCUGAACAGGAGAGGCUCUGGAGCUGCCAGGGAUCCUCCCCAGCUGGUGGGAUUGACUCUGCCUCCCUCAUCCCUGUGGCAGCUCACACAUUCCCAGGGGCUGCCAAUGGAAUGAGUCACUGCCUGCUUGCCGGGGCCUGCGGUGCCCUCCUGGCAUCCAGAUCCCAUCAGAGGCCACAAAUCCUGUUAUUCACAGGAAAACCACCAGGCAGACCCCGGGCAAGGUCAGGUUUCACCUGCAGACAGCAAAUUCCCCCCAUCCCUGCGGCCCCAACUUCCUCCCAGAGCUGUUGGGGAAACAAAACGAAGCCUGAGGCAGCUGGGAACGUUGGGUUGGGCCAACUCUUCUUCCAAGCCUCAACAUCCCCAGGCCAAGAAGAUCCUGCCAAAACAGGGACUGGGGAUGUGGGGGACACUGGAGCAGGUCCCUCCUGUCCCCGUGUCCUGUGCUGAGUAUUCCAUGGAAUCGUGGAAUGGUUGGGCUUGGAAGGGACCUCAACCUUCACCUCAUUCCACCCCUGCCAUGGGCAGGGAGCUCUGCACUCCUGGGAGCAGAGAUCUGGAGUUUCCUCAGGGCCUUCCACGUUUUCCCUGUGCAUCAAGGAAUCCCCGACUGCUGCUAAUUAAGGGAGGCUAAUUAUGGCACAGGCCAGUGACAGCUCCCAGGAGAAGGCUCCGAGCCCUGGAGAAGCUCCAGCGGGAGCAUUUGGGAGCCUGGGCACUGCCAGCCCUGGGAAACACGAGGGCUGUGACCCUCCUGGGAACCCCAAGGGGAUGGAAAACCCCAAAUUUGAGUUCUUCCCACACCACAGCACCACAAAACUCCCAAAUGCUGGAAGCUGCCCAGAAGGAAACGUUCAAGAGUGUUUUGGAUGAGCAGCUGGGGAGAUGCCCUGAUUUUUCCCAAUAAAUUUGGGAUUUUCACACA
ensembl:lncRNA